rnacentral:rRNA from 1 species
GCCAACGUCCAUACCACGUUGAAUACACCGGUUCUCGUCCGACCACCGAAGUUAAGCAACGUCGGGCGCGGUCAGUACUUGGAUGGGUGACCGCCUGGGAACACCGCGUGAUGUUGGCUUUU